AAAGGGGAAAACAUGUACAUAUUCAGUUAUUAAAAUAAUUGGAAAAGCCGAGCUUGAAACUGGGGUAGUACAUGUAUUUAGAAUUUUGUGAGGGGACGUUUCUUAUCUGGGGGGUCAAGAGAAGUUCUGGUUCACAGUCUGUCAUCUCUUUUUACAGUUUCCUGUGGACAAAUACAUAGAAACACAUUCAUAUCUCAAACUAUCUAUACUGUCUAUCUUGGGGUGGAAUUUUAUUUUUAUUUCAUAUCAUAAAGUGUCUUCUGCUGACAAGGAUUAAUUGUGAGGGAGUUCAUUAUCCUCAAGGGAAUGAGAUCUGGCCAAGAAUAACAAAGCAGAGCAAUAUGAGAGCUUCUGCUCCAACUUUUGCGGCCAUACUGUGAAUAGGUCCUCAGUUCCCUAGUCAAGAUGAAAUAAUUUAGUGCUUUCAUGGGGAGAAAUUCAGACCAAGUAGCAAUCAAGGGCAUAAUGAAGGAAAGGGAAGAGUGCACUGAAAACAUUUCUUCCACGUAAUCCACAACCAAAUGUUGCAGGUGCACAAUCUCAGUGAAAGUCUCUUUUUCUUUAUGUGAUAGAGGAUUUCUCUCUUCUUGUCAUAGAAAUUCAUUUACUCCACAGCAUUUGUUGGUAACUUUUCUUCCUAAAGGGACAUUUCUUUGUUAUUGCCUUUAAAAAGUUGACUUCUUGGAGUUCCCUGGUGGCCUAGGAGGUUAAGGAUCCAGUGUUGUCAUGACUGUGGCUCAGGUCGAUGCUACAGCAUGGCUCAAAUAAACAGAUUUUCCUAAAUUUUAAAGCAUGUUGGAACAAAGGUUAUUUUGUUCCCUGGGUGCCUUUAUAACAGUCAUUUGGAAAAUUCAUACUUGACUUAUAAGCAAUUUUUAGAAUUCCUUUACUAAUUAAAAAAAAAAAGGUAACUUGUAAAUAAGUAUGAGUGAUGACUAGGGCAGUCCAAUUUUCUUCAGUUGCUUAAGUAUGAUGAGCAGUUUUCACUAUUUGACCAACCAGAGGGCUUCAUAUUUGUCAGUAAUAAUAAACAUUUUCUAUGACACAUCUCCAAUUUUUGUGUGGUUUUCCUGUGUGGGAAGUACUAAAUUGUUUUCAAUUUACUAGACAGAAUUAGGCAAGUAUAAGAGUUUUUUUUGUUUUUAUUUUUUUGGCCUCACCUGUGGCAUGAGGAAGUUCCCAGGACAGGGAGUGAAACCACACCAGAGCUAUAACCCAAACCACUGCAGUGACAAUGCCGGAUCUUUAACUGCUAGGCCAUCAGGGAAUUCCUGGUGAUUUUAUAAAUGAUCACAAAUUCUUUCCCUCCCUGCACUCAUGAGUUUGUAAUGUAACAGCUUUGUAGUGUGAUGCCCUUGCCAAAGGAUGCUGCAGAAUCUUCUAGGUAGAGAAAUCUAUUUCUCCACUCUGAAUCCUGACUUUAAAAAGUGCUAACAGGAGUUCCCGUUGUGGCACAGUGGAAACAAAUCCGACUAGUAUCCAUGAGGAUGAGGAUUCGAUUCCUGGCCUCACUCAGUGGGUUAAGGAUCCAGCAUUGCCUUGAGCUAUGGUGGAGGUCACAGACACAGCUUGGAUCCUACCACUGCUGUGGCUGUGACAUGGGCCAGUAGCUACAGCUCCAAUUCGACCCCUAUCUUGGGAACUUUCAUAUGCCAUGAGUGCAGCCCUAAAAAGAAAAAAAAGUGUGGACAUAUUCAAGCUUCUGCUACCUUUUUGCUCGUAAAAGCCCUCUGCCACUGUGUGAACAAGCUCAGGCAAGCCUACAGAGGGAUGAUGGACCCAUGGAGGAAAUUAAGCUCCCAGACAUGGGAUGGAGUCCAGCCAAGAAGGACUGAUUCUGGUCCUGAUCACAUGGAAUGUCCAACAAGCCCAAACAGAUUGCCAUCACACAGAAUCAUGAACUAAAUCAAUGUUUUCUUAAGGUCACUAGUUUGGGGGUGGUUUAUUGCAUAGCAAAAGUUAAGUGACACAGCAAGCAAAUGGUCAUCCCAGUUAGUUAGAAUGUAGUACUUAUAAAGCUAGGGCCAGUGUCCAGAAUGUCUAAAGAGCCAAAUUCUUCCAUAACCAUGGUCUUUGGCCAUAAAGCAAAAAGGUUGGGCCUCAGUUGGAGGUUCUGUUGAGUACCACCUCUGUGAAAUACAGUAUGGUCUUUGAAGUCACACAGACCGAGUCAAAUCCUGGCUCUACAGUACUAAUCUGAGCUAAUCGAUUCAUUUCGCCCUUGAAGAUCAGACUCUUCACCUAUCAAAUGGGGCUACGUGGGUAGUAAAAACUACCUCAUGUUAAAUGGAUUAAAUGAAAUUAUAUCAUCUGCUUGCAUGGUGCCUGAUAAAUAGCAAUUAAUUAAAUUGUAGGUACACAUCAUACAAAUACAACAAAAUUGAAGAGCCACCGAGAGAGAGUGCAAAUAUCAUAAGGCCCCUUUGCAGGCAACACAACAGCAAGGUGUGUGCUGAACUCCCUGCAAACUGCUCACAUCCUUGGUUCUCAUGAGAAUAUCAUACUUUCUUUGGUGGCCAUGUUCAAGUCAUCUUCCCUCCACUCAACUGUGAAGUCUUUAACUCUCUGCCCCAAUCUACUCCCUUACCCUGCUUUCUCCACAGAUGCCCAGUGACUUUAUACUCUCCAGAGUCCCCCAUUCAGGCACCUGGCAAAUAUAACUUCACCUCAGCAGGUCACCACCCCACCCCCUCAUCACUAAUUCCUAGGUUCCAUCACUGGAAUGAAAAAAUGAAGAAAAUGAAUCUAUUAUAAUACUAAAAAUAAAACACGUAAUUAUUAUAGAAUUAUUCCAACCCGUUCUCAAGGAACAUGUUUGUAUCUUUUACAUGUUUUUAGGAAUCCAGUCUUGAGGCUGAGAAGCUGGUGCUCGCAGGAGGGAUUGUGAAGAAAAGGCUCGGGCCCUUCGUCUUUGGAUAUCUCAAAUUUUGUUUUAGGAUCCCUUUACCACAGCCUCUGUCCUUCUGAAUUCUGAGCCUUAAGUCAGCAAGGAAAUCCAUGUGAAGAAGAAUGGCACUGUGGAACACCCUACAAGAAAUCCUGCCAGACACAAUGCAUUUCAAUGCGAUUUCCACUUGACUAUAACAAACACAUUUUUCAAAGAAAUUCUCCAGUGAAUUUGGAGAUUACUUUUAGUGAUUGCUUGCCUUAAAAGCCCCAGGCCAAACCAUUUUCACGUGGUUGUCCCUGAUUUCUUAAAGAGAACUGAAAAAUAUCCAUGUAUGUAAAUAAAAACAAAGAAAAUACACACUAUGUAUGGUAGUAAGUCCUUAACUGGUAAAGUUACAAUUCUCGACAUCCCUCUUCCUCUCUAAAAGUGCUUCUACUGUAUUUGACAUAGAUGUGUAUUACAGCAAGUGAUGAGGUUGAUCAAGAGGAAAUUCAAGAGAAAAACUGCAUGGACGAAACCAAAGCAGAGAAUGAUAUCCAAUCUCCCCCCACCAUCCCAAGGGUAUUUCACACUGGAGUCCAAAUGAAAUAUCUAAUUGGAAACAGCAGUGAGCAAAGGAGAAACUAGACUCAGAUGGUUUUUAAUUCAGUUGGCACGGUACCUGUGUUCCCAAGCCUGCCCUUUCAUUCUCCUUCAGUAUGGAAAACCAAAGCCAGCCCCACACCCAGCCAGGCUGCUCAGCCCUACGGUGUAAUAUGAGACCAAAAGAGGCAUCCUCCCUGAGGCUCAAGGACCUGCCAGCUGGCCACAUGAGUGCACUUACCUAGAGCUCCAGCCAAAACCCACAGUUCCAACAUGGAGCCCCAAGAGAGGUGCAGUGAGGAUAAAAAUUGACAGGGAAAAGUACACACAUUAUUAGAGCAUUAUGAGGCAUUAACCAGGUUCCUGAGGAUUUUUAUUCAUGUUAAUUUAGAGGACAGACGUUAGAACCCUGUGGGAGUGAGAUGGAUUUUCAAAUUUGGGGCAAACAACCCAAAGCAGAAAGUAAAUUCCAGGGAAACAAUAAGAGCACUACUGUUGUCCAAGGUUCUGAACAGCUGAGGAGAUAGCAUUGGAUUCCAGACCUGGGACAGGGUUGUUACAUGGGCCUGUGUCUUGGCCCCUUCAGGCUGCCAUAAAAAAAUGCACAGGCUGUGAGCCUUAAGCAAAAUAAUUAUAUUUUUCACAGUUCCAGAGACUGGGAUGUGCUUUGCUCUGAAUGCCAGGCAAUUCGGAUUCGGGUCCUGGUGAAAGCUCUCUUGUUCUGGCUUGCCGACAGCUACCCUUUUGCUUUGCCCUUACAUGGCAGAGAGAGCAAGAAAGUGCAUUUACGUGGGGGGAGGAGGGGGAGGGGAUAAGAGAAAGAGGGAGGGGAGGGGAAAGGAGAGAGAAAGAGAGAGAGAUAAGGAAAAGGAGAGAGAGAUGGAGAAAGAGAGAGAGAGAGUGCACUGACCUGGGAGAAGGGGAAGGAGGAGUGGGGGUGGGGGGAGAAAGAGAGAAAGUAAGCUUCCUGGUCUCUUUUCCUAAAGGCAAUAAUCCCAUCAUGACGACCCCACCCUCAUGACCUCCUAAACUUAAUUAUUUUCCAAAGACUCCACCUCCACUGAUAGGAGCUAGGACUUCAACAUAUGAAUUCCGGGGGGACAUAAUUCAGUCUAAAGAAGACUUGUGCCAGAAAACAAGGAAGGGCUCAAUGAAGAACAGGGAUAUGUCAAAAGAAUACAAAAGAUAACCUGACUGGGUGACCACUAGCCAAUCAGGGACAAGUUGAGUAUAAAAAUAAAUAAUGAUAAUAAGGGAUUAUAACCCAGUGAAUAAAAUGUUUCCACAAGUCUGCAUAUAUUCAAAUAAAUAAGUUGGAAGUUUGACAAACAACGGGAUAGUUACAGUUUCAAAGUAUUUCCACAUGAAAUAUUUUAUGGUGGCUAACUAUGGAGGCAUCACCUUUAUCAAAGCAAACAUCAUCAGUUAUGGAACAAAUGGAAACCAGGCACUACCUGAAAAGAUACCACGUAAGUGAAUACAGUAUAAUUUCAGUGAUGUUCCUGCCCAAAACGAAUGAUUCUAAUCUAAUCAUAAAGACACAUCACACAAAACCCGACUGAGAGACAUUCUAAAAAAUAAACCACUCUAUUAUCUUCAAAGGUGCCAAGUUAUAAAAUCAAGGAAAUAAGGAAUUGCCUUAGACUGAAGGACACUAAAGAGGCAUGACAACUACAAUAGGUGACUCUGACCUGGAGUCUUUUGCUACAAAAGACAGUAUUGGGCAAUCAGCAAAAUUUGCAUGGCAAAUUUUCUCUGUAAAUGAGAGUUGUAAUGUAUUGAUGUUAAUUCCCUGACCUUGCAAUGUGGUAUGUAAGAGAAAGUCCUUGUCUUAGGAAAUACCUAUGAAAGUAUUUGAGAUUAAAUACCUUACUCUCAUAUGGUACCAGCAAUAUCUGCAGAUAUUGUCAAAUGUCCCUGAGGAUUGGGGUCCCAAGAGGAAAAUUGUCUCCAUUGAGAACUGUUGGAAUAAACCAACUGGGACAGAACUAACUUGGGCUCCACUUAAAUGUCUUAAAUCUCUGCUAUAAAACUAUCAGGAAACUACCAACUUUACAGGAGGGCAUAUAAUAAUAUAAAGACAAAUGGAGCAGAAAAUCCUCUAAUUAAUUACCCAACAUGUUAAUUUCUUCUCCUUGAUACACAUAAUAACAACUUUGGGGAAUCUACUGGUCAAUAUCUUCAUUCUACAUAUG
rnacentral:lncRNA from 1 species